rnacentral:rRNA from 1 species
AGAGUUUGAUCCUGGCGUCAGGAUGAACGCUGGCGGCGUGCCUAACACAUGCAAGUCGAGCGAGAUACCUUCAAACAGAGAUUCGUCAACGGGCGGAGGUGGACAGCGGCGGACGGGUGAGUAACGCGUAGGUAACCUGCCUCAGGCUGAGGGAUAGCCUAGGGAAACCUGGAUUAAUACCUCAUAAUGCGUUGAAGUCACAUGGCUUUAACGCCAAAGAUUUAUCGGCCUGGGAUGGACCUGCGUCUGAUUAGCCAGUUGUGGGUAACGGCCUACCAAAGCGACGAUCAGUAGCCGACCUGAGAGGUGAUCGGCCACAUUGGAACUGAGACACGGUCCAAACUCCUACGGGAGGCAGCAGUGGGAAUAUUGCACAAUGGGCGCAAGCCUGAUGCAGCAACGCCGCGUGAGCGAAGAAGGCCUUCGGGUUGUAAAGCUCUGUCCUUGGGACGAAGAAGUGACGGUACCUAAGGAGGAAGCCCGGCUAACUACGUGCC